GACGAACGCUGGCGGCGUGCCUAACACAUGCAAGUCGAGCGGAGGCAUACGAGGAGUAAUCUGAGUAUGCCUGAGCGGCGGACGGGUGAGUAACGCGAGAGCAACCUGCCUUCCACAGGGGGAUAACGUACCGAAAGGUACACUAAUACCGCAUGAGACCACGGUACCGAUGGUAGUGGGGUCAAAGGAGCAAUCCGGUGGGAGAUGGGCUCGCGGCCGAUUAGGUAGUUGGCGGGGUAACGGCCCCCCAAGGCUGUGAUCGGUAGCCGGGCUGAGAGGGUGAACGGCCACAUUGGAGCUGAGAGACGGUCCAAACUCCUACGGGAGGCAGCAGUGGGGAAUAUUGGGCAAUGGGGGGAACCCUGACCCAGCAACGCCGCGUGAGGGAAGAAGGUUUUCGGAUUGUAAACCUCUGUUCUUGGAGAAGAGUGGAAGACGGUAUCCAAGGAGGAAGCCCCGGCUAACUACGUGCCAGCAGCCGCCGUAAUAC
rnacentral:rRNA from 1 species